rnacentral:rRNA from 1 species
UACGUAGGGACCAAGCGUUGUCCGGAAUUAUUGGGCGUAAAGAGCUCGUAGGCGGCCGUUCACGUCGGCUGUGAAAUCCCGAGGCUCAACCUCGGGUCUGCAGUCGAUACGAGCAAACUAGAGUGUUGCAGGGGAGACUGGAAUUCCUGGUGUAGCGGUGAAAUGCGCAGAUAUCAGGAGGAACACCGGUGGCGAAGGCGGGUCUCUGGGCAACAACUGACGCUGAGGAGCGAAAGCGUGGGGAGCGAACAGG